rnacentral:rRNA from 2 species
CAUUGACUUCGGAUCAGGCAGGGAUACCCGCUGAACUUAAGCAUAUCAAUAAGCGGAGGAAAAGAAACCAACAGGGAUUGCCCCAGUAACGGCGAGCGAAGCGGCAACAGCUCAAAUUUGAAAUCUGGCGUCUUCCGGGCGUCCGAGUUGUAAUUUGUAGAAGGUGCCUCGGGCGAAGCACCGGUCUAAGUCCCUUGGAACAGGGCGUCGUAGAGGGUGAGAAUCCCGUACGCGACCGGCCGCCGAGCCCGUGCGAGGCCCUUUCGACGAGUCGAGUUGUUUGGGAAUGCAGCUCAAAAUGGGUGGUAAAUUUCAUCUAAAGCUAAAUACCGGCCAGAGACCGAUAGCGCACAAGUAGAGUGAUCGAAAGAUGAAAAGCACUUUGGAAAGAGAGUUAAAAAGCAUGUGAAAUUGUUGAAAGGGAAGCGCUUGCGACCAGACUCGUCCGCGGGUGAUCAGCCUCCCCAAGGGGUGGUGCACUCUCCCGCGGCCGGGCCAGCAUCGGUUUCGGCGGUCGGACAAAGACUCGAGGAACGUAGCUCCCCACGGGGAGUGUUAUAGCCUCGGGUGCAAUGCGGCCCGCCGGGACCGAGGACCGCGCUUCGGCAAGGAUGCUGGCGUAAUGGUCGUCAGCGACCCGUCUUGAAACACGGACCAAGGAGUCGACCAACCGUGCGAGUGUUUGGGUGGAAAACCCGCAACGCGCAAUGAAAGUGAACGGAGGUGAGAGUCCCUUCGGGGGUGCAUCAUCGACCGAUCCUGAUGUCUUCGGAUGGAUUUGAGUAAGAGCAUCGCUGGUCGGACCCGAAAGAUGGUGAACUAUGCGCGGAUAGGGUGAAGCCAGAGGAAACUCUGGUGGAGGCUCGCAGCGGUUCUGACGUGCAAAUCGAUCGUCAAAUCUACGCAUAGGGGCGAAAGACUAAUCGAACCGUUAUUUCCCGUUACUGGGCGGUUCAUCGACGUCCGCAAAAGGGACGUUCGAGCAUCAUACAUUGAUGCGAUGCCAACAAACUGUCGGGGAUUUUCUAAUGGCUUUGGCAACCGCCGCCGAACCCGAAAGGGUGGGUGAGCACCUGGGCUAACGGUCCAGGGUAUGGUAAAAUCGUCAAAGAUGAGGGAUUACUGCCAUAAUCCUGAAAUGAAUUGCCCGCAGCGCAGUCUCUAAGGCGAAAAGCUCGCUAGGAGCCACUGUUCACAGGCCAGAUGUUGGCGGAUCUUCGUCCAAGUAUGGCGAGGUUCCAGGUAUGGUCGGGCCGCCGGUUUAGUCCGGUCGCGGAGUCUGAUUUCCAAUGCUGAGGCUGCAGUAGCCGGGGCGGUUCCCC